UUGCUCGAUGGGAGAAAUCCUGAAGCAGCAACGCCGCGUGGAGGAUGAAGGGUCUAUGACUUGUAAACUCCUGUAAAGAAGGAAAAAAUUCCCAUUAGAUGGGAGAUGAUGGUACUUCUGGAGUAAGCCCCGGCUAACUACGUGCCAGCAGCCGCGGCAAUACGUAGGGGGCACGCGUUGUCCGGAUUUACUGGGUGUAAAGGGUGCUCAGGCGGAUUUGUAAGUCAGAGGUGAAAUCUUACAGCUUAACUGUGAAACUGCCUUUGAUACUGCAAGCCUAGAGUAUGGAAGAGAGUGAUGGAAUAUCUGGUGUAGCAGUGAAAUGCGUAGAUAUCAGAUAGAACACCAAUGGCGAAGGCAGUCACUUGGUCCAUUACUGACGCUAAAGCACGAAAGCGUGGGUAGCAAACA
rnacentral:rRNA from 1 species